rnacentral:rRNA from 1 species
GAUGAACGCUGGCGCCAUGCCUAACACAUGCAAGUCGAUCGGUAAGGCUCUUCGGAGUACACGAGAGGCGGACGGCUGAGUAACGCGUAGGAACACACCCUGCAGUGAGGGAUAAGACACCGAAAGGUGUUCUAAUACCGCAUACGGUCUUCGGAUUAAAGCAUUUAUGCGCUGAAGGAGUGGCCUGCGUCAUAUUAGAUAGUUGGUGAGGUAAUGGCUCACCAAGUCGAUGAUGAGUAGCUGGUCUGAGAGGAUGAUCAGCCAGACUGGAACUGAGACACGGUCCAGACUCCUACGGGAGGCAGCAGUGAGGAAUAUUUCACAAUGAGCGAAAGCUUGAUGGAGCAAUGCCGCGUGCAGGAUGAAGGCCCUCGGGUUGUAAACUGCUUUUAUAAGAGAAGAUUAUGACGGUAACUUAUGAAUAAGGGACGGCUAACUACGUG